UUAAAUCUUUAUGGGACUAAACUGUAUUUUAAACUGCAUGAGGCCUUUGCAAAUAAUAGCUGAUUUCCCUGCAAAUGGAAAGGAUAUAUUUAGAGACUUUCCUGGGAGAAUGAAUCGGCCCCUGGGGAUUUGUAACGGACUGUCGAGCCUUCCACCUUGAGAGGACGGAGGAUGGGAGAGUGGUUGGAAGAUAGACUGAGCUCCGUGCCUCAGCCCCAAAGGCCAUCUUCAACCUGGCCAAGUGAGGAGCAUGCCUUCCCAGGAUGGUUGCAACAGGAGGAAAGCCGAGGAGAUGACAUGUACAAAACUGCCAAGGCCUCAGAAAAACAGAGGCAUUCAUGCAGCUUUGUGGGAAGAGCUGACUUGUCCAGGCUAAGCUCUAAGGCAUCUUCUUCUCCUGUAUCUUCCUCCUCACACUUCUGCUUUCUGGCACUGUUUUCUAAAACUGAGUAAGGACAAACAAGUGAAGGUGCAAAGGGAUCAAUUGGAAGAGGGCAGUGAUUCAAGUAAAUGGUGUGAGUUUCUCAAAUACAUUCUUCACCCCACACGCCUUAGAUUCAUGGCAUCCAGGGGGUGGGGCUAGAAAAUGGGUAGUUGAGAGGGAGGGCAGAAUUGGAGAGUUGCUUACGAAAGAGCUUAGAGUAGAGAGCUACAUUAGUGCCAUCCUUUUUUUUGACCAUGGAAGAAACUGCAGCUCAGGGCAGUUUGGAAUAGGUCACUGUGUAACGUUUAAGUCACCAGCAGCGAAGGUGACUUCAGCUGAUAUUAAUAGUGAACAGAUGUAUUUGAAAGGAUACUGAGUAGCUCAUAGCAUCUUGUGGGAACCAGGUGGGAAGAGGUAGGAGCAAGGGGGACCAAGUGUGGCCAGAGGUUGAUGAGGCAGGAGCCUUCUCCAAUAUCUUGGGUGCUCUUUGGGGAAGCCCUUUUCACAGUGUUCACCACUGAGCCACAGGUUAGGGCAGGGAAUGUCCCCACUCCAGGCACAAAACUGGCAUCCUCUUGUUUAACUCUCCACCCAAAUUUCAUCUAUGAGAGAAGCCUUCUCUGACCACUAGAUUUAAAAUAGUGACACUCUCCACCUACUGCUCUCCUCUUGCCUCUCAUCCUUUCUGUCCUGCUCUCCAUAACACUUCUUCCCAUCUGACAAUUACUUAUUUAUUAUUUAUUCCAUCUCUACCCCCUACAAAGUCAUCUUCAUGGGGAUCUGGACUUUUUUGGGUUCAUCUUGCUUUAAGGCCCCCACAGCCCCUUUCUGAGGAGAUGGAAUGCCCACCAGAAGCUGCUUGUUCCCUUAGGAGUGGGGAGCCUCCUUGGGAUCCUAGGUCUGGGUACCUUGCAAAGCUCCUCUUUGGGAACAUCAUAAGGGUUGGGGGGGGGGUGGGAGGUGGGUAGUCUCCUUUCAGAGUUUCCCCUCUUUUGCCUGCACUCCCAAGUCCUCAGUUAGGUGGCUCUCCCCUUCCUAAAGAAUGGAGGGAUGGCGUUUUCAGAACGAAUGUGAAUGAACAGAUGUAAAAGUAGGGAAAAGCACUGCUAGAGGCAGAGUCCCUGUGCAGUUUGGAUGCCACGUUUUCAGCCAGGUGUUUAACAGCAGGGUAGAGGCAUCUGUCCACUAAUCUGGCUAAAUAUACAAAGAUCCUUCCUGGGUCCAGCCUCCUUUUUCCUUUUUCUCCUCCCCUUUUUUCACCUGCAGUCCCUCCCACCCCCAUCCAUUUCCCAGGAAAAUAAAUCUCUGGGAGGAGGCCAGGAGAGUGGAUCUCAGAGAACCUUUCUGAAUAAAUGUCUGUAUUAAUGAAUUAUUAACUCAGUCACCCAUGACCUUAAACCUGGAAGAGGGAGCAUGGAGGGCAGAGAGGAGAGCUGCUGAAUUCUUUAUUGGAGUCCUGUCAAAGGCAACCGACCAUUUGUUCCCCUCCUCCAUUAGGAAAAAAAAAAAAAUUUAUAUAAAAGGCAAACUUUAAAACUGUAUGUCAAACCAAAUCAGAUAGGGAGUCCCCGGGAAAGAAUUCUCUUUUUGCUUUUCUGCCCCUUCUUGCCUCUCCCUCUCUGCCCUGUCCCCAUCCCCACCCACCAGUUCCCCCUCCAAGCUUAAGGGUCCAAUGGC